UCCGUAGGUGGCAAGCGUUGUCCGGAAUUAUUGGGCGUAAAGCGCGCGCAGGCGGUUUCUUAAGUCUGAUGUGAAAGCCCCCGGCUCAACCGGGGAGGGUCAUUGGAAACUGGGAAACUUGAGUGCAGAAGAGGAGAGUGGAAUUCCACGUGUAGCGGUGAAAUGCGUAGAGAUGUGGAGGAACACCAGUGGCGAAGGCGACUCUCUGGUCUGUAACUGACGCUGAGGCGCGAAAGCGUGGGGAGAGAACAGG
rnacentral:rRNA from 1 species